AUUCAUCCCCUUUGCUCAGUACUUAGUUGUCUACUACUUGCAGGUAUUACAGCCAGUGGUCUUUUUUUCGAUAAGUCUCUCUUAGCUUCGCACAACAUUAUGAAGCAAUUAUGAAGCCCAUUCCGCCUUGAAAAUUGCUCAAGCUGUGCCAAGUUAGUUGGGAGCUGUGAUAGAUGAAUCAAGGUUAUGCCAGAGGAGUUUGAGUGGGUUAAAGUCAGGACUCUGAAUGGGCCAAUCAAAGACAUCAAUUUUCUUCAUUUGAAGCCACUCCAUGUUGCUCUGGCAGUGUGCUUUGGGUUGUUGUCCUGCUGAAAGACAAACUUCCUCCCCAGUUUAGGCUUCUGGCAGAGGGUAGCAGGUUUUUAUCCAGAAUCUUUCUGUAUUUAGCAGCAUUCAUCUUCCCAUCAAUCCUGAUCAGAUUUCCAGUUUCUGCUGCUGAAAAGUAUCCCCAUAACAUGAUGUUAGCUCCACCAUACCUUAAGAGUAGGGAUGAUGUUACCAGGCUGAUGCGCAAUAUUAGAUUUACACCAUGCGUACUGCUUAGUGUUAAGGCAAAUGCUUCCAGUUUAGUAUCAUUCAACCACAAGACGUCUUCCACAGUUUUACAAUAUCUUCCAAGUGACGCACUGCGAAGUCUUUAUGGGCAAGGACAUACUUUUUUAAGCCAGAGCAUUUUCUUUGCCACUCUUCCAUAAAUACCCUUUUUGUGCAAGGCCUUAAGAGUUAGUGGAGUCAUGGAGUUCAUCUCCAAUUGUAGCCAUUGAUUUCUGCAACUCACUGAGGUGUUUGUUGGUGUCACAGUAGCCUCUUUUAUAAGCGCCAAUCUUCUCUGGCAACUCAGCUCAGGAGGGCGGCCUGACCCAGGUGAUGUGGUUGUGGCUUCAUAUGUUUUCCACUUUUUCAGAAUGGACUGCAUUAAGCUCUGAAUAUGUUCAGUGCCUAUGAGAUGGUUUUGUACCCUUCCCCAGAUUUGUGCUGUUACGGAUUCAGCAACAAUAAAUAUAUAAGUGAGGCAGGGGUUUUUAUAACAAACAAAACACUGAAAAACAAACCCCCAAAAGUAAACAACUAACGUAACCGGAAAUCAGCUGCUGUGUGGCAGCUUAAACAGUUCUUAAAGCAAUAAAGUGAAAACAGUUCUUAAAGCGAUGUUGCAAAAACAGAUCUUCAAAGUAGUACUGCAAAAGUUCAAAAUGCUUACAGUCCAUUAAAGGAGAGACUUUUUAAGACGAUUUAAAUUCUCUUUCAUGUCGUGUUGCUGCGGUUCCCAGUCGAAGAAUUUACGAAGAUGAAAAUGAAACGGCUUAAAGGCACUGACCUUUCCUUUACAAAACUGUACCCAAUCCUUUCUGCUAUAUUUCGCAGGGAUUAACACAGGGACAGUCAACGAAUUCCUUCCGAAUGAGGAUCAAACAAGGUCGAACCUGUUUCACCGUCAAAAUCGACUUUCCUCGAUCUUUUAGCUCCCGAACUCCGAUCUUCACUCUCCACUGAUUUUUAACUGGCAGUAUUAUAAAGAAACUGCUGGCAAUGACAUUUUAAAAUUUAGGCAUUAAAUAAAACUCCAUCUUUCAAACAAACUGCAUCAUAAUAUUGGACCACGCAGUGGCAUGGAGUAAAAACGGCAAAUCUAGCCACGAACUGCCCCUCCUCACAAGGAGGGGUCCUCCUUUUAUAUCCUGUAAAAAAAACCUGUCACAUGACCUCUACUGGCAGGAAAAUGACAUCACUCCACCAUCACAAGACUAUUAACUUAAGUCCAGUAUAGCUUCAACACCACUGUCAUGUGACAAGUACAAAAUACCCAUGGGUACGUAACAGUGCUUCUCUAUGAUCCUUUCCCUGACUAAUCUUGGAUGCUUCUCUUGUCUUCAUUUUGGUUUCGUCUGUUGAAAAUCACCAAGUUGGGUGAGAGGAUAAGGAGAGAAAUAUGGCCUGGUUCAGAUUGGAUGAUUGAAGAAAGGAACAAAGUGAGUGAGCCCUGACUGAUGAGGAGAACACCAUUGCUGGCAGCUUGUAAGCAGGGUUCAACCUGCAGUCUCCAGGAUCGACUGAAGAGCCACUCUGUUGUUCACCUGUUGUGAUGAUGCAUAAAUUGGAAUGGAUCCAAGUUUUCCCUCAGGCAGGAAUUCAUAUGUUCCAUCACCAACCUCUUAAACCACUUAAUCACUGUAGAUGCAAGCGGUAUUGGAUGACAGUCAUUGAGGCAGGUUACCACAUUCUUAUUAGACCCUGGCAUAAUGAAGCCUGCAUGAAGCAGAUGGAUAUCUCAGACUGAUGAAGUGAAAGGGUAAAGAUAUCGGAGAAUUCUACAGCCUGUUGAUCAGCACAAGCCUUUAGUACUUGGCCAAAUAUCCCGCCUGGGCCGGAUGCUUUCUGCAGGUUCACCCUCCUGAAGGAUGUUCUCACGCCAGCCUCAGAAACCGAAAUCACAGGGUCAUCCGGGCUGUGGUUUUUAUUCAGCUUUUCAAAGUGUACUGUAUCACUUCGCUUUUCCAGAUUGAACACCAGAUACUGCUUCUUAGCUCUACAUCCACUACACUAUCCACAACACCACUAACCUUACCGUCAUCUGUAAGCUUAAUAACCCAACCUUCUACUUUCUCAUCCAAGUCAUUUAUAUAAUUUUAAAAAUCCACAAAGAGCAGGGGUUCCCAGAACAGAUCCCUGCAGAACUCCUCUGAUCACAGACCUCAAGCUGAAUAUGCUCCUUCUACUAUCCUCUGCUUUCUGUGGAAACCUCUCAAUGGUCUCUGCCAAUUCUGAAUCCAUGCAGCCAUGCUUCCUGAUAUUCUGAAUAAGUUUAUCAUGUGCAACGUUGUCAAAAGCCUUGCUAAAAUCCAUAUACACCACACCCACUGGCUCUACCUGGAUCAGUGGUGUUCAGGACCAGUGAUACAGAAAAGUGUAAGAGGUCCAGGUAUGAGUCCUGGAAAGCCAUCUCAUAUUGCCAUAUGAAUGGCAAUUCCAGACCAAAUCUGAAUCACAGAAGGAUGCUCGACAACUUUGGCAAAGCUUGAAUACCAUCACCUCCUACAAACAAAAACCAAGCAACAUUAAUAACAAGGUUUUGCUCCCAGAUGGGCUCAAUAUCUUUUAUAUUCCCUUUGACCAAUAGAACAUGGAGGCACCUUCAUGAACUAAUCCGUCAGUCUCGUGAGAUCUUGGAUUUGUGCCUGGGCAGGGCUGUAUGGGAGACCGGCAGUUGCCCAAGCUGCAAGCCUUCCCCUCUCCACGCCACUGAUGUUGCCCAAGGGAAGGGCACUAGGAGCCAAGCAAUUUGGCACCGGUGUCGUCGCAGAGCAAUGUGUUGUUAAGCGUCUUGCUCAGGGAUACAACACGCAGCCUCAGCUGAGGCUCGAACCAGUGACCUUCAGAUCGCUAGACUGAUGCCUUAUCCACUAGGCCACUCGCCAACACUUUCAUGAACUGAUGAUAAAGUUCAAAGGAAUUGGGCGAUUCUCAGAUUCUGUAAAUAACGGGUUAAGUGCUGACUAUGUCUGUGUAUUUUGUGAGUGACUGCAGCGUGUUUGAAUAAUGUCUCACAGCUGCAUCUUUGGAGCAAGAUAAGGGUUAAAGUUCACACAGAUCCACAUGUCUCCUGAUUUUUCACACCUUUUGGUUUUGACAAAAGGAAGUACCUGGUGGAAAUUAGGCAGGACAUUCCUUUCUUAAUUAAAGCAUAAAUCUGGUGUAUGUUCUUACCUUUGUAUUUAAGUUUCAGCUCCAACAGCUGCUUUUUUUUAAAAGGAAUAUAUGGGUCAGCACAACAUCGAAUGCUGAAGGGCCUGUACUGUGCUGUAAUAUUCUAGUGUCUAGUGUUUACUGGCCAGUUGGAGGAAUAAUGCAUGUAAUAAAGGGAUAGAGGUAUGUACGGCAGAAGGGACUCCCAAGAGUUGGGAGACACUGAAAGCAGAGUGUGAGUGGGUAGAUGGGCAACAAAAGAGAGAUCAGGAAAGGCAGUGUAAGCAGGCAAAGGCUGAUAUGGACAGACAGAAAGGAUUAGAAUGACAGCGCCGUGGGAAAACCCUGAGGCCUGAUCAGGAUCCGCAGCCCGUGUCUGGCAUACUGACUCUUUUUGAUGAUUCGGAAGAUACUGAUAGGGAGGAGGAGUGGGGAUGUUACCCUAGACUGCUACCACCUCCCUUACCCUUCUCACAACCAACCACACCACCCCCACCACCAUACCAGGCUCCUGAAGGAUCGAAUGUAGCAGAAUGAGUAAAGAUAAAUCCCAGAAAACAAACCUGGAGAGGAUCCUGGCCAGGAGAUUCUGGAGAGGGGCAGUCUAAACUUUGUGAUAAACUUGGAGGAAUCCAACUGAAUCCCCAACAGCAGUGCCCUAUUAGGCAGUUGCCCAAUCCCCGAGCAGUUGAGGGGGCAAGCAACCACCAAAAAUUGAAGUAUACGUCCCCUGGAAACCCCAGGAUUUGAUAAUGAUAAUGAAUCAGGCCCCGGACUGUAAGGAGAAACCAGCCCAAUAUGCUCAGUAUGUUCAAAGUACUAUUCUGAUGUAUAAUGCCACUUCUUAGGACCUGUUUGAACUAUGCUGCAUGAUAUUGUCACCUGAAGAGACAACAAAAUAGCAGGAUCAAUUGGGUGAGGGCGGUAACAGGGGGCUGAUCCGAAGCCACAGGGAACCAGAGCAGCAAUUUCCUAAUAACCGAGAAGCACAGACGAACCAGUUGAUCCAAUCAUUAGAAUGAGCCCGACAACAACCCGUGAACAUUUACUAAGGUGUUAGAGUGCAGACCAAAGCCAGGAGAGUCAGAGGAUGAUUAUUGGGAGCGGUUCAUUGCUUGCUAUGGGAUAUUCGCAGGGGAUUCAGCCUUUUAUCAAGGACGGGAUUCACCUUUGUUUAACUCUAUGGUCUUGCAAUAUAUUCCACCCCCCCACCCCCGGUACUGCCGACAUGAUCCGGAUGAAUAACAUGAACUGGUCCGAGAACUCCCGGCCUCAGAUGAGACGAGCGGUGGUGUACUACUGGAAUGGCCAGAAUGAGUCUAAGCCUCGACCUAGACCGCAGACUCGCAGUAUUUGUUCACUUUCACCUAUCAAGGCCAGCAAUACACCUGGACGCCGCUGCCCCAAGGGUUCAUCCUCUCCCCUACGCUGUUCUCACAGACUCUCCAGAAACAAUUACAUACCCUUGAGUUGCCACAGGGAUCAACGGUAGUACAGUACGUGGAUGAUCUACUCCUGGCUAGCAACAAGGUGCAAAACUGCGAAACCGACACUACUGUACUGCUGAAUUUCCUGCACUCUUUGGACUAUGUGGUUCUUCCACAAAAGCUUUCAUUCACAGGUACAACAGGCCUAUCGAGAGGAUGACACCCAGCCAAAGGGUGACUACCCCACCAUCAAGCCUGGAGAUUUUGAACUGAUUAAGAACUGGGAUCGUAAGAAGUUGGAACCGAGGUGGAAAGGACCGGACCAAGUGCUACUGACAACACCUACUGCAGUGAAAGUGGAAGGGCAGCUCCGGUGGAUACAUCGAACAGAUUAAACAUGUUACUGGCAGAACUAAUAAGGACUGAAAAAUGUAUUGGUUAAUGAUAAUUUUGAUGACACUAAGGGGACCUGUCCCUGUUUCAGGAGGCCCCUAGGUUAACACUUUUCUGUCCCUCUGCCAUACUUAUGCUAAGCAAGUAGAAUGGGGAGCAUAUUGGGUAUGUUUUGUAUCAUGUUGUAGAAGCGACAAUCUGUUCUGAAAAGUUAUCAUGUAAUGAUAAAAAGGAGGGAAUGAUAAAGUUUAAAGAAAUUGGGGGAUUCUCAGAUUCCUGUAAAUAAUGAGUUAAGUACCAACUAUGUCUGUGUAUUUUGUGAGUGACUGCUGUGUGUUUGAAUAAUGUCUCACAGCUGCUUCUUUGCAGCAAGAUUAGAGUUAAAGUUCACACAGAUCCACAUAAGAUGUCUCCUGAUUUUUCACACCUUUUGGUUUCGACUAAAGUCGGUAUCUGACGGAAAUUAGACAGGAGAAAUCCUUUCUUAAUUAAAGCAUAAAUCUGGUGUAUGUUCUCAUCUUUGUAAUUAAGUUUUGACUCCAACAAACCAGGUAGGCCAUUCCUUUUUAAAUUAGAGUGGCUGGAAUGUCUAUCAAACUGAUUGUUCUUUUGUACCAACAGUCCAUUGACUUGGCUGGAAUGUUUAUCAAACUGAUCUUUUGUAUCGGUGGCCUUAUAAAUUGUAACAAUUCUGGAAGUCGAGCAGUGAACUUGUUUGAACUGCCAGAGGGAUGAGAAUGCUUCUCCCCCGAUGUCAGGACCAAGUUCCCUCAUCGGCUGAGCUCAAAGAAAUAAACU